UACGUAGGGUGCAAGCGUUGUCCGGAAUUACUGGGCGUAAAGAGCUCGUAGGUGGUUUGUCGCGUUGUUCGUGAAAACUCACAGCUCAACUGUGGGCGUGCGGGCGAUACGGGCAGACUUGAGUACUGCAGGGGAGACUGGAAUUCCUGGUGUAGCGGUGGAAUGCGCAGAUAUCAGGAGGAACACCGGUGGCGAAGGCGGGUCUCUGGGCAGUAACUGACGCUGAGGAGCGAAAGCGUGGGGAGCGAGCAGG
rnacentral:rRNA from 1 species